UCACCGACUACAGAGUCGAGGACAGCGCUGUCUUUGCUUACGCGUGGCAGAAGUCUCGUGCUGGGUGACAAAGUUUCCCUCCUACUGCAAAGCGAAGCAACAUUUUCCACCCUCUCGGCUCCUCCCACGGAUUCCCAGAGUGUCUCUGUUUAGGUCGGAUCCCCGGAAACACACCCAGGCCGCGGUUGGAGCCCCUGGUAAAAGGCUCGGGAGAUCUAGAUUUGCUUUGCGGAACUCCGCCCUGCGGAAUGGGAACCCAGCGCAUCCCAAUCCAAAGAGCCCUGUGGCCGGGUGAGUGCCGGCUUUUCUCCACGACCGGAUUCUUUACACGUUCAUCAAAGGUUGCACAGCCAAGGUCCUGAGACCACGGAAGGAAAUGGGUGCUUAGGAACCUGAAAACCAGGGCGAACACACCGCGUGUUCCAGGGCCUUCAGAGUCACUAGCUGCAGAUCCCGCACUGCCGGCUUCUCUAGGCUCGGGCACCGCGACCAUGGCUUCUGGGAUGAGUGAAGGGGGUUCUUCAGCUCCUGCUCAGAAUUUAAAGACUGCAAGACCCCAAAGAUCACUCCGGCUCUCUAAAGAUGACAUCAGCCCAUCUGUGUCCUGCAAUCAGUAAGGCACAGAUGUUACACAGAGAAUGAUGUGAUGGGGGUCGCUUUGACAUGACACCCAUCAUGGGGGCAGUUGAGGAGGUGGCUUUUGCCCCGCGGCUCCCUGCUUUCAGAGGAGGUGACCUGGUUAGCACGCUUUAGAUAGAGACUAUUAUUUAGUAAAGGACCUGUCUGUCCAUGAGAGACAACCUAGGUUCAGCUAUCUCCUGGGUUUCCACAUUUCCAGCCUACUUCCUGCAAAUUAGGUAGAAUCCUGCAGUUGUGGGGGUGUGUCCCCGUUCACCAGUAGAUUUGUAUACAUUCCUCCAUGCUUCCAAGCCAAUAAUGAAGCACACCCCUUCCCCAGUGUCCCUAAGCAGUGUCUGGAGGGCACCCUGAAAGAACCUGUCUAGGAUCAACACUCAAGCAACUGUAUUUUGUCCCCACCCAGGGUGUAGGUUUCUUGCCCAGCUCCUUGCUAAAAGGACUUCCAGAGACUGAAAGAUGUCAUUCUACUGAAUGUUCAAAUUGCUCCUUAGAAGCAGAAGUGAGGGGUUUCGGGGCAAAUGGGGGGCACCCUUGGGGGGAGGGCACCCUCAGCCACUAGAAAAUGUCACUCCAGGACUGUCAAGUAAGUGUUCUCUCUGUAAAUGGUCGUCUUUUGUCAUGAUUUGCCCGGAUACAUAAUUGGCACCAUGUGAUGAGAAAGAAAGGGCUUUGAAAGAAGUAAUCAGAAGAGAUCAAACUGACAGGGAGAGACUGGGGCGGACCCUGAUGCUUUGGUUACUUAAACCGUCCCCCACCAAGAUGGGCUUCCUGUUUUUAUGAGCAGCACUUAGCAGUUGUUAUAAUUUAUACUUUUGUCAAUGAUUUGUGGAAACAUGUAUAAUCUUUCUCCAAUAAAGUAUUCUCUUGAUUUUA